rnacentral:rRNA from 1 species
UGCGGAGGGAUCAUUACACAAAAAAUAUGAAGGCUGCAACCGCCAGUUUUGGCGGGGAAGCUGAAUUAUUUUUCACCCAUGUCUUUUGCGCACUUGUUGUUUCCUGGGCGGGUUCGCCCGCCACCAGGACCACACCAUAAACCUUUUUUAUGCAGUUGCAAUCAGCGUCAGUAUAACAAAUGUAAAUCAUUUACAACUUUCAACAACGGAUCUCUUGGUUCUGGCAUCGAUGAAGAACGCAGCGAAAUGCGAUACGUAGUGUGAAUUGCAGAAUUCAGUGAAUCAUCGAAUCUUUGAACGCACAUUGCGCCCUUUGGUAUUCCAAAGGGCAUGCCUGUUCGAGCGUCAUUUGUACCCUCAAGCUUUGCUUGGUGUUGGGCGUUUUGUCUUUGGCUUUUGCCCAAAGACUCGCCUUAAAACGAUUGGCAGCCGGCCUACUGGUUUCGGAGCGCAGCACAUUUUUGCGCUUGCAACUAGCUAAAGAGGCCAGCAAUCCAUCAAGACCUUCUUCUCACUUUGACCUCGGAUCAGGUAGGGAUACCCGCUGAACUUAAGCAUAUCAAUAAGCGGAGGA